UGUAUAGGGAUUACCUACUUGCUUCAUGAAAACUGAUGCAAGAUCGACUAUGUCGUAUAAAGUUCUAGUCAGUACUAUGAUAAUGACAUUGUCUGGCUAUGUGUCUUGACCAAAUUACGUGCCAGCAGUCGCGGUAAUACGUAGAAGACUAGUGUUAUUCAUGUUUAAUCGGUUUAAAGGGUACCUAGACGGCAGAUCAAGCCUUCAGUAAAUAAAUAAAAAGGGACUAAUUUAGCUAGAGUUACUUAUGAGGAAGCUAUAAAGUACUGCUGGUGUAGAGAUGAAAUUCUGUCAUACCUCUUUUCGAUAGGAAAACGACGGCACAGGUAAAGGCGAAGGCGUCUUCUUAUGGGAUAACUGACGUUGAGGGACGAAGGCUUGGGUAGCGAACAGGAUAGAUACCCCAAUAGUCUAAGCAGAAAAUGAUGAAUGUCAUAGGUUAGAUAAUCGCUUUAUCCUAUAAAUGAAAGUGUAAGCAUUCCACCUCAAGAGUAAUUUGGCAACAUUGGAACUGAAAUCAUUAGACCGUUUCUGAAAACAGUAGUAAGGUAUGUUAUUUAAUUUGAUGAUCCACAAAGAACCUUACCACAAUUUGAAUACUUAGAUCCUUCACUUUACCUCCCGAAGCUUAGCCAGACCUAUCUUCCAUGAUCGUAAUAUUUGAGCCGCGGAAAGGUCAUCCUUAUGCAGUAUCAAUGAUUAGAUCCAUUUUGAAGCUUAGUGAUCUUAUCUUUGCCAGGUCAGGUAAGGUGGAUAUCUAUCUACAAGCGUUGCACGGCUGUCUUCAGUUAAUGUCGCGAGACUAUGGUUAGUUCCAUUAAAUUAACGUAAACCCUUGUCCUAGUUUAAUAUAGGAUAGUUCUCCGCUAUAUUGGAUGUGAUAAUAGGACUAAGACAAG
rnacentral:rRNA from 1 species